CAGCUGUGUCCUUGUGAUGCUUGACAAAUAUAGCAAGAGUAAAUGGUCCUGAAGACUGUCAUUUACUAGCUUAUCAAAGGCUGAUGGCGAAAGUUUAGGAAGGGAGGCAACAGUUUCAGAUAUAAACCGCCCUAUGCUACUAUCUGAUGCAACAUGCCCUUCCACGACAUCGUCAACAUAUUUGUGCACAUCAUCCAUUAGGGCUAGUAGACGCUGCAUUGAGGCUUCCAUUCCUUCCAAAUCACUCGGGAUUUUGUCAACCAUUGGUGUCUUAAGG
rnacentral:misc_RNA from 1 species